rnacentral:tRNA from 1 species
GCUUGGAUGGUGGAAUGGUAGACACUAGGGACUUAAAAUCCCUUGGGAGCAAUCCCGUGUGGGUUCGAGUCCCACUCCGAGCA